rnacentral:rRNA from 1 species
GUGCAGCAGGCGAGAAACCUCCGCAAUACACGAAAGUGUGACGGGGCCAUCCCGAGUGCCGUCCGCUGAGGACGGCUUUUCCCCAGUGUACACAGCUGGGGGAAUAAGGAGAGGGGCAAGCCUGGUGUCAGCCGCCGCGGUAAUACCAGCUCUCCGAGUGGUGGGGACGCUUAUUGGGCCUUAAAGCAUCCGUAGCCGGCUGGGCAAGUCCUCCGUUAAAUCCAACGAUUCGAAUCGUUGGGCUGCGGGGGAUACUGUCCAGCUUGGGGGGCGGGAGAGGCCGAC